GCAAAGAAGUAAAAAAUUACAAUUAAUUUCGACUUAAUUUUAGAGAAAAUCUCCAUGCU
rnacentral:tRNA from 1 species